GAUGAACGCUGGCGGCGUGCCUAAUACAUGCAAGUCGAGCGAACGGACGAGAAGCUUGCUUUUCUGAUGUUAGCGGCGGACGGGUGAGUAACACGUGGAUAACCUACCUAUAAGACUGGGAUAACUUCGGGAAACCGGAGCUAAUACCGGAUAAUAUUUUGAACCGCAUGGUUCAAAAGUGAAAGACGGUCUUGCUGUCACUUAUAGAUGGAUCCGCGCUGCAUUAGCUAGUUGGUAAGGUAACGGCUUACCAAGGCAACGAUGCAUAGCCGACCUGAGAGGGUGAUCGGCCACACUGGAACUGAGACACGGCCCAGACUCCUACGGGAGGCAGCAGUAGGGAAUCUUCCGCAAUGGGCGAAAGCCUGACGGAGCAACGCCGCGUGAGUGAUGAAGGUCUUCGGAUCGUAAAACUCUGUUAUUAGGGAAGAACAUAUGUGUAAGUAACUGUGCACAUCUUGACGGUACCUAAUCAGAAAGCCACGGCUAACUACGUGCCAGCAGCCGCGGUAAUACGUAGGUGGCAAGCGUUAUCCGGAAUUAUUGGGCGUAAAGCGCGCGUAGGCGGUUUUUUAAGUCUGAUGUGAAAGCCCACGGCUCAACCGUGGAGGGUCAUUGGAAACUGGAAAACUUGAGUGCAGAAGAGGAAAGUGGAAUUCCAUGUGUAGCGGUGAAAUGCGCAGAGAUGUGGAGGAACACCAGUGGCGAAGGCGACUUUCUGGUCUGUAACUGACGCUGAUGUGCGAAAGCGUGGGGAUCAAACAGGAUUAGAUACCCUGGUAGUCCACGCCGUAAACGAUGAGUGCUAAGUGUUAGGGGGUUUCCGCCCCUUAGUGCUGCAGCUAACGCAUUAAGCACUCCGCCUGGGGAGUACGACCGCAAGGUUGAAACUCAAAGGAAUUGACGGGGGCCCGCACAAGCGGUGGAGCAUGUGGUUUAAUUCGAAGCAACGCGAAGAACCUUACCAAAUCUUGACAUCCUUUGACAACUCUAGAGAUAGAGCCUUCCCCUUCGGGGGACAAAGUGACAGGUGGUGCAUGGUUGUCGUCAGCUCGUGUCGUGAGAUGUUGGGUUAAGUCCCGCAACGAGCGCAACCCUUAAGCUUAGUUGCCAUCAUUAAGUUGGGCACUCUAAGUUGACUGCCGGUGACAAACCGGAGGAAGGUGGGGAUGACGUCAAAUCAUCAUGCCCCUUAUGAUUUGGGCUACACACGUGCUACAAUGGACAAUACAAAGGGCAGCGAAACCGCGAGGUCAAGCAAAUCCCAUAAAGUUGUUCUCAGUUCGGAUUGUAGUCUGCAACUCGACUACAUGAAGCUGGAAUCGCUAGUAAUCGUAGAUCAGCAUGCUACGGUGAAUACGUUCCCGGGUCU
rnacentral:rRNA from 1 species